GCAGAUUAUGUAUCAUGUAAGAUAGAUCAAUCAUUUUGUGGAGAGAUAGAGAGGAGAGACAGAGAAGGGUGAUUAUUAGAAGAGUGAGAGAAGGAAGUGGCAGAACAAGUCAUAUCAAGAGAAGAGACAGCUGUAAUUUCAUAAAGACAUCAAGUGGUAGAGAGAAGUGUGAUGCUUAAGGUUGGUAACCAAAAAAAAAAAAAGUUACUACUUUUCCAAAAGCAUCUCUACUUCUAUUUUUGUAGUUGUUGUAGUUGUACACACACUUCGACUCAAUCAGUAUCACAUUACAUCAUCAGACGUCGAC
rnacentral:lncRNA from 1 species